rnacentral:lncRNA from 1 species
GUUGGUAUCAGUUCUAGUUUCCAGGUCAUGUAAGACAGUACCACAGACAGUACCGUGAAAGUUUUUCGAAGAGAUUCUUCGGCGGGUUGUGUUUUACGUUUUACAGUUGAUUUUGUGCAGUAUCGUUUCGCUUGACUACUCGGUCGGAAUAAAUAAUAGACGUUAAGUAAUAUUCUGUUUUGGUUUUUGGAGAAAUUUCAUGAGGAAUAAUGAAAGUGACGGUACUGCAGAUAGUUGUAUCAGCUCUACUGAUUGCAAGUACGAAAUGUCUUCAACAAGAUUCAAUACCAAAUAAAAUUUCUCC